rnacentral:rRNA from 1 species
GACGAACGCUGGCGGCGUGCUUAACACAUGCAAGUCGAACGAAGUGGCGAACGGGUGAGUAAUAUGUGGGUAACCUGCCCUCCUUUUUGGCAUAAGACUUGGUAACGGGGUCUAAUACCGAAUCAAGGGGGAUGGGCUCGCGGCCUAUCAGCUUGUUGGUGGGGUGAUGGCCUACCAAGGCGGUGACGGGUAGCCGGCCUGAGAGGGUGACCGGCCAGAUUGGAACUGGGAUACGGCCCAGGCGCCUACGGGAGGCAGCAGGUGUGGAUAUUGCACAAUGCGCGAAAGCCUGAUGCCGCGACGCCGGGUGGGGGAUCAAGGCUUUCGGGUUGUACACCUCCGUCGCACGCGAUCGGGUAGGUGGAGAAGAAGCGCCAGCUAACUACGUGCCAGCAGCCGCGGUAAUUC